GCAUUGCCAAAAAUAUCAAUUUUGAAUAGUUUGAUCUAUUUUCGAGCUCUGGACAAUCUUAAAAUCUCAAACAUCGAUAGGCAAAAACUGUGUCAAUAUCGAUUGUGAAAAUCUGCAACCCGCCAUCGGCUAUCUGUCUUGGCACUUGAAAAUUUAGAUCUCGUAUCGUUUGCAUCAUUUCGCAUAUAGAAACGCUCGAGAACUUUGUUGUGUGGACUCCCCAAAGGAAGAGGGCCCCUUGGGGGCCCCCCAAGGCGAUCAAAUUGAGUCUCGAGUCCGUGGCCGCAAAGGCAUCGCUAGAGCCGUCGGGCAGCAGGGAGCUGCUCCUAAAAUUGCAAGUCACUCGCGACGGAACCGUCCACAAAAUUCAAGCAACUAAACGGAAAAUAAUAUACAAUAAGCGCCGCAACAUUCUACGGCUUCGUCGGCUGCAGAAAUUUUCCCUUUAAAGCUGAAGCCGGCCCAGACGGCCAGGCAGAUGCCGCCCGUGAAGGAGGAAGAGCUAAAGUCGUUUGCGGUUGACUUUGAUAACAAGGAUGAAGCGCCUGCUGUGGGGCCUUUAGCACCCCUAAUGCGGUGUCGUUCGGCGACGCCACUACCGCUGACCAGCAGCCAAAGCAGAUGCCCAAUCUUGAUGAUGCCGAUCGCCGGUCGUGCGGGCGGCACAGGAGCCUAGAAGGAGAUGGACACCCAGCUGAAGGCGGAAAUAUUGCCGGACAGUCCGGAGCAGAAGGCUCUGGUCAAGGAGAUGAAGCGAGUUGAGCUUCAGUUGCAGAAUCUGGACAGAAAGACCCUGAAGAACGAGAACGAGGUAAAUCGUCAGCAAUAUCUGUGCCUCGCCUUUGCGCAACGUCAACCUGCCUCACCAAGAUGGAGCAGAAUAACACCAACAUUCAAAUGAUUCACUCAUCCUUGGGUCUCCGCCAAGCGCCGCGGCGCUGUCGUAACUGCUUGCCGAGGAUCCAUCCAUGAUCCGAUCCGGGCAAUCAGUCGUCGGGCGUUCAGAACGCCUUUAUUCUUCAUUCUUGAUCAUUUAUUUUUUAUUCCAAAAUAUGUUUCUCAGCCAUUUAGUGGAUCCUUGCGCCCUUCCGCCACGUAUUCAUUCUGCAUGAGUACUUUUUCUGCGAGUCCAAUCAUGAUCGCAGUCACGGAAAAGCAAAAGAUGAUCUGCGGCUUUAAGCCUCAUUCCUUUCUCUCCUUUGAGCUGGUCUCGUAUUUCGUGGCGCAGCUCGGGUAUCAGCUAGAUCCAUAUUCGGUUCUGGAUCUAUCCAUAUGGAGCUGAUUCCCAAGCUACGCGACGAGAUGCGAGAGGAGCUCAAAGGCAAGAUAAAGGAAAGAGGCACAAAGCCACAAAUCAUCUAGUGCUUUUUCCUGGCAGGGAUCGAGGCUGGAUUCGCGGCGACAGUACUUCUUCAGAAUCAGUACGUGACGGAGUGGAUCUAGAUUCCAAACCGAAUUAAGAUCUAGAUCCAAAACCAAAUAUAUGGAUCUAGAUCCAUGUUCGCUUUUGGAUCUCGAUCCUGAUUUAAUCCCACCCACUGAUUAUUUUUUUGUUUCUUGUUUCUUGUAUUUGGAAAUGUCAUGCCUCUGCCAUUUAUGGGCUUAAAAUGUUUUAGUUCUGAAUAAAAGUCUGCGUGGUACAAAAAGAGCUCGCCCGAAAAAAUCAA
rnacentral:sRNA from 1 species